UACGACUACAUAUCAGGCAUAUCAAUAAGCGGAGGAAAAGAAACUAACAAGGAUUCCCUUAGUAACGGCGAGUGAAGCGGGAAGAGCUCAAAUUUGAAAUCUUCAAGGUUUUACCUUGACGAAUUGUAGUUUAAAGAAGUGUCUUCUGUUGAAGUUUUGGUAAAAGUUCUUUGGAAUAGGACAUCAUAGAGGGUGAGAAUCCCGUAUUUGACCAUUAUUUUCUCAGCUGUGUGAUACACUUUCAAAGAGUCGGAUUGUUUGGGAAUGCAGUCCAAAAUGGGUGGUAAAUUUCAUCUAAAGCUAAAUAUUGGCGAGAGACCGAUAGCGAACAAGUACCGUGAGGGAAAGAUGAAAAGAACUUUGAAAAGAGAGUUAAACAGUACGUGAAAUUGUCAAAAGGGAAGCGUUUGACACCAGUGUUGUUUUCUCGAAAAUCAAUUAAAAAAGGCAGGGAUUUUGUGUUGUAUUGACCUUAUCAGCUUUCUGCACUCUUUUCUUGACUUUUUUAAUGCACUUUUCGUUUAACAAGUCAACAUCAAUUUCUUUUGUUGUAAAAGGGUCAUUGGAAGGUGGCUUUCUUUUCGGAGAAAGUGUUUAUAGCCUUUGGCCUCUGCAAUCGGAGAGAUUGAGGUCCGCAGCGUAGAUCCUUCGGGGUUAGAUACAUUUGUGCUAAGUUAUAGCCUUUCAUAGACAACUUGUUGACUAUGAUCAGUCAUGUAGCUUACUCGCUUAUGCUAUUUUACCUACGCUUAGGAUGUUGAGCGCAUGUCUCUCUCU
rnacentral:rRNA from 1 species